rnacentral:tRNA from 1 species
AGGAUGGUAGUUUAAUAAAAACAUUUAAAUUGCAGUUAAAAAUUUUUUUUUUGAAAAACAUCUU